GCCUUGAUGGUGAAAUGGUAGACAUGCGAGACUCAAAAUCUCGUGCUGAAGAGCGUGGAGGUUCGAGUCCUCUUCAAGGNN
rnacentral:tRNA from 1 species